rnacentral:rRNA from 1 species
CAGCAGUAGCCGCGGGAAUACGAGGGGGGCAAGCGUUGUUCGGAAUUAUUGGGCGCAAAGGGUGCGUAGGCGGUUUGAUAAGUCUUGUGUGAAAUCUAUGGGCUCAACCCAUAGUCUGCACAGGAAACUGUCGGGCUUGAGAGUGGGAGAGGUGAGUGGAAUUUCCGGUGUAGCGGUGAAAUGCGUAGAUAUCGGAAGGAACAUCUGUGGCGAAGGCGACUAUCUGGGCCAACACUGACACUGAGGCACGAAAGCGUGGGGAGCAAACAGGAUUAGAUACCCCCGUAGUCCCUGUCUCUUAUAA